rnacentral:rRNA from 1 species
GAUGAACGCUAGCGGCAGGCUUAAUACAUGCAAGUUGAGGGGCAGCAUGAUAUACGCGAGUAUAUUGAUGGCGACCGGCGGACGGGUGAGUAAUAGGUAGGAGACCUACCUCAUACAGGGGGAUAGCAUAGAGAAAUCUGUGGUAAUACCCCAUGAGGUUAUAUGAAUAGAGGCAUAUAAUCAAAGCAUAAGCGAUUAUGCGGUAUGAGAGGGGCCUACUGACCAUUAGCUAGUUGGUGAGGUAAGGGCUCACCAAGGCGAAGAUGGUUAGGGGUUUUGAGAGAGAGACCCCCCACAUUGGAACUGAGAGACGGUCCAGACUCCUACGGGAGGCAGCAGUAGGGAAUAUUGGGCAAUGGGCGAAAGCCUGACCCAGCCAUGCCGCGUGAAGGAAGACGGCCUUAUGGGUUGUAAACUUCUUUACUACGCGAAUAGAGGUUAGUACGAGAUACUAAUAGGAAGGUAGUGUAAGUAAAAAGCACCGGCUAACUCCGUGACC